AGCAGGUCCCUUUUAGUGGAAAGAAAGCCUCAGUUGAAAAGGAAGAAGCCAAUGUAAAAAUGUGAAAUCAAAGCUCUUCUGAUAUGGUUGAAAACAAGUAACACACUAUAAAAAGCUGCAAGCUUGAGUUAUACACAUGUGACCUUGGAAAUACCAUUGGCUCAUCUACUAUUCAUGAUGAAAAAAUUGAGGCUCAAAGAAGUCCACCAAAUUGAGAGUGAAGUAGGGGAAACAGCAUUUAACGCUUACAUUCUAAUGAUUUGUGUAAGAGCAGCAGGACAAGCUAUACAAAGAAAAAGGUGGAAUUAUCAGGAUGGAAUUAAAGAUGCUUCCAAACAGAGGGGAUAUCUCAAGCCAUGACUCAGAGAGUUCUCCCCACAUUAUUAAUGGUAUGGGAAUUAGGAGAAGGUCAUCUGACUCACAUGGAUCACCAUAUAAUUCCUUCUGGAGAACAGAAAAAAUGCAGAAGAGGAAAACCUCCAUAUGUGAAGCUAUGGCAAGGGAGUCUCCCCACCCCGCGCUCCAACAGAGUCUGGAGAUAAAGUAAGUUUGAGAAGCUAGAAAGUGUUUUUCCCCAUUAUCUCCCAAACACUGUCAUUUGGCUGCAUGCAGAUUUCACUCUGGCUUUGGCAAAUGUGUCCCUUUAUGUAACAAUAAACAAUUAUAUUGAAAAGCAAGAUUGGAGAAAAA
ensembl:lncRNA novel transcript